UGAAGUGAAGAAUAAAGAAUAAAAUUUGAACUGUCGUAGAAACUAUUUUGACUUAUUAGUUUAUGAAUCUAACUAAAACCAUAAAUAUCACAAAAAAUAUUUAACAAAAAAAUCAACAAUUACAAAAUCAUUGAUGAAGAGAAGCAAAACAAGACUUUUCUUUCGAGUUUGCGCUGAAAACGAAGCAGCAGAUGGUCUAAAUAAUUGAGUCCUUCAGAGAAAGUAAACUGUAGACGCAUUUAUAACUUUUUGCGAUAAAGUUUUUCGAUGAGUGUGAUACGAUCUGUGUAGAAAUGUCCACGCAAAGAACAGUUUUUUGCAUUUUGUCUCUUUAUUCGCAUAUUGCGUCUGAGUAGUCCGGAUUUUGGUUGCGAUCGACGUUUCUGGGAAACAAGCAAGUCUGUUUACAAUAUUGUUCAACAUUUUAUAUUUUAAAAUUAAGUCUCCGCGUAUUGUUCUAGGGUGGUAACCUUCAGCCGUAGUAGUCUCUCCGCGUACAAUAAAUGUUUGAUUGCCGCAAUACUUUUCUUGCCUCGUUUCUGUACUUUUUCAUCUUUUGAAAUAGAUGACCAUGAUUGUACGGAAAGUUCUAGAAGAGGACGCAAUCGUUAAAGAGAGAGUACAUCAUAGGAAAGACUAUUCAAGCGGGUCAAGUAUACUGUUUGCGGUUGAAGCGGCAGUUUCUAUUUGAGAUCGAACGUUUAGGUUAUCUAAUUCAAGAAUUCCCAGAUCUUUUUCUGUGGUAGUUACCUCUAGUUGUUUACAAGUACCAUCAACAUUCAACAUUGAUUGUUACUAUUUUCAUUUAAUAAUUAUAUUACUAUUGGUAUUA